CGCAAGCCUGACGGAGCAAUACCGCGUGGGGGAUGACGGUCUGUGGAUUGUAAACCCCUUUUCUCUAGGAAGAAGUUCUGACGGUACUAGAGGAAUCAGCAUCGGCUAACUCCGUGCCAGCAGCCGCGGUAAGACGGAGGAUGCAAGCGUUAUCCGGAAUUAUUGGGCGUAAAGCGUCCGUAGGCGGUCAUUUAAGUCAGUUGUUAAAGACUGCAGCUCAACUGUGGGAGAGCAACUGAAACUGAGAGACUAGAGUACGGUAGGGGUAGAGGGAAUUCCCAGUGUAGCGGUGAAAUGCGUAGAUAUUGGGAAGAACACCAGUGGCGAAGGCGCUCUACUGGGCCGAGACUGACGCUGAUGGACGAAAGCUAGGGGAGCG
rnacentral:rRNA from 1 species